CACCUGGUUGAUCCUGCCAGUAGUCAUAUGCUUGUCUCAAAGAUUAAGCCAUGCAUGUCUAAGUAUAAGCUUUAAACGGCGAAACUGCGAAUGGCUCAUUAAAACAGUUAUAGUUUAUUUGGUGAUCGAUUACUAUUUGGAUAACCGUAGUAAUUCUAGAGCUAAUACAUGCGUCAAGGCCCGACUUCGGAAGGGCUGCGUUUAUUAGAUACAGAACCAACCUAGGCUCCGCCUAGUCCUUGUUGGUGAUUCAUAAUAACCCGGCGAAUCGCACGGCUUGUCCGGCGAUGGACCAUUCAAGUUUCUGACCUAUCAGCUAUGGACGGUAGGGUAUUGGCCUACCGUGGCGUUGACGGGUAACGGGGAAUUAGGGUUCGAUUCCGGAGAGGGAGCCUGAGAAACGGCUACCACAUCUAAGGAAGGCAGCAGGCGCGCA
rnacentral:ncRNA from 1 species